rnacentral:misc_RNA from 1 species
CAGUGUCGUCUCUCUGUCAAUGGCAUGCGUUGUAAAAAUCUAAUAAAUUUUAUGUAUUUUUCUAAUAUGUAGAUAAUUAGUGAAUUUUUUUGUACGAAUUAUAUAGCAGUUAAAACCCGUUUCACAGUUUAUAUUAGUAGAGCAUGUAAGAGAUUUUCAAAUAAAAUAUUUUCUUAUUCAUUUGUUUCAACAGUUUUUUUUCUAAUUGAGUGUUCAAAUUGUUUUCUUUAUUUUGAUGUAAAACAAAAUUAACCCUUUUAUUUGAUUCAUGCUUUAAUUGUGUUAGUUUUGAGAAAUCAAUCAUCCCCCUCAUUUGAAAGUAUGAUUACAAAUUAAUUCUUGAUUUUUUACUGUACAGUUGUUCGAAAGUAUCAGUAAUUAGGCUAACUUAGUUUUUUGACUUAGAAGUCUACUUACCAAAUUUUUUCAUUAUUGAUUAAGAAAAUUUGAAUCGGGAAUUAGAUUAUUCAUAUAUAAUAUACACGAAAUAUGAAAGCCUAAACUGAUUAUUUGAUUCCAUAUUUACAUAAAUAAUGGAUAACACCAAUAUUCUUCGGCACUUGAGAGAGAGGGAAAUUAAUGAUUCAAUUAAUAGAUCUUUACGGCGAAAAUGGCAUGUAAGCGACUCAUUAAUAAAUAGAUUAGGACAUGAAAAAGAUCUGGAAGGGCACGAAGGAUGUGUAAAUUGCCUUGAAUGGAAUUCUGAAGGACAGAUAUUAGCGUCAGCAUCUGAUGAUUUUCAAGUGAUACUCUGGAACCCUUUCACGUAUAAGAAACUCCAAACCAUUGAAACCGGACAUCAUGGCAAUAUAUUUUCUGUGAAGUUUCUGCCAUACUCGAACGAUAGGAUACUAGUGACGGGAGCGGGUGAUUGCCAGCUGCUAGUUCACGAUGUGAAUGAGCGCGGUCCAAUCAGCAUCUGCACAUGUCCCAUGGGUCGAGUCAAGCGGCUGGCCACCUCUCCCAAUGUGCCACACAUCUUCUGGAGUGCAGCCGAGGAUGGCGUCAUCAGACAAUACGACGUGCGUAGCCCGCACUACUGCAGCGAGGGCGAGCCGAAUGUGUUGGUAUACCUGCGGAGUCACCUGGGAGCCAGCGCCGAGGCGAAGUGCGUCGCCAUCAACCCGUGUCGCUCCGAGCUGAUGGCGGUUGGUGCCAACGACCCCUAUGUCAGGCUCUACGACCGGCGCAUGAUCAAACUCACUUGCAUGCGGACUCCCACUGUUCCCCAGAAUCCUCCUCCCCCUAGAAACGGUGAAAUAACAGGAAGCAGUCGGUUUACUAUACUAACUGAUGUAGUGAUGGAGGUUGCUAACAACCUUUCAGCCGGCUGUGUGCAAUACUUUGUACCAGGUCAUCUUCCUAUAAGAAAUCAGUAUCACAAAACUAAAUGUAUGCCAGCUACGUAUGUGACGUUUGGGCCAGAUGGUACCGAUUUACUUGUCAACUUGGGUGGAGAGCAGAUUUAUUUAUACGACAUUUCGCAGAAUAGCUCACCCAAGUCAUUCAACCUACCAAAGUAUGCCUUACCUGAAGUGUACGGUGGUUGUGGAAAACCAUUGAAGAAUGGACGCCAGCAGCAUGCUGAAUCAGCUGCAUCUAAAAAGCACUUACCCAAAGAUGUCGAAAAUUUGAAGUUAUCUGCCAACAUUGAAUUCGACAGGGGCGAGUAUAGUGAAGCUAUAAGGAUCUAUAAUACAGCGAUCCUCAGGUUCCCAGACGGCCCGUUACUCUAUGCAAACAGGGCAGCUGCUUACAUGAAGAGAAAUUGGAAAGGUGAUAUGUAUGCUGCCUUGAGAGAUUGCCAUACAGCACUCGCCAUAGAUCCCAAUCACGUAAAGGCCUUUUUCAGGCUAGCACGGUGCCUGUAUGAACUCGAUUGGAGGGAAGAAGCGAAGCAAUGUCUUGAAGCUUUCAAGGAACGAUUUCCGGGUGAUGCGACCUGUCAUGCAUGCAAAGCUUUGCAACAAGACAUUGACAAACCUCGAAGCCCCAUACCUAAAAAAUAUAAAAAUAGUAGUAGACAAUCAACAAGUGAUGUGCCUCCCGAUCUGCAAUACAAUUUUCAUUUUUUAUCGUCAGCUGAGGAUGAUGAUGAAGAUGAUGUAGAAUUGAUCGCUCAAAACGCCAUCACAAAUCAAGAGUCUGCGUGGAGAGAAAAGGCUUUCGACUAUAAAAAGAGAUACUACGGCCAUUGCAAUACAACGACUGAUAUAAAAGAAGCCAACUUUUUUGGGAGCAAUGGUCAAUACAUAAUGGCAGGCUCGGAUGACGGCUCAAUCUUCUUCUGGGAGCGUGAAACGACAAACAACGUGCGCAUCCUGAUAGGGGACAGCUCCAUUGUCAACUGCAUCCAGCCGCAUCCCAGUUGCUGCCUGCUGGCCAGCAGCGGCAUAGACAGCUCGGUCAGACUAUGGUCACCCAAACCUCAGGACGGCAAAACUAAUGAUCGAUUAGUGGGCGAUAUCGAUCAUGCGGCUGUGAUGAAUCAACGGCGGAUGAAAGCUGAUCCUUUCGACGUUGUGAUGCGAGACAUGCGAUCCAGAUUGAUCAAUCAGAUCAGUCAGAUAGAGGGUGCUGGGGAGGAUGCAUUGCGCUCCUACGACUGUCGCACCAGUUAAUCAGUCAAUCACUGCUACUUCCAUAACAAUGUCCAUGACAUUGGAAAGGUUGUCGUAACCGAUCGUGUAACAUAACUCAUUCCAGUGUGAUAUGCUUCAGACUGAUAAGUCCUCGUGACCUACACGUGAGUUCCACUCCUGGCCUACUUUGAAGGUCCUACCGCUAAGGAAGGGGUGGCCAAGUUGCCUCUAGAACGCCCGGAAACCCUUGAUUCAGCCUCUUGACCCACAUUUGUGCCACAUAGGAUUGAAGUGAAAUCAUUAAUAUAAAAAAAAAUAUAUAUGACAAGUUUUAGAACUUGAAAGUUUGUAUACAUGUGUGAAUAAUAUAAUUUAUGUAAAGUUUACAAGUUCUCAGUUUCCGCCAUCAAAAAUUCAUCAAGGAUGAAUAUCUUGGACGUUGAUGUGAUGUAUAGGAUUUAUAUGAAUCAACAAUUUUCUGAUUCAUAAUUGUGAUAUUGACAAAAAUGUUGUCCUCUUAUCAACACCAAAACAAAAGAUAAACAUUUUUAUGGGAUGAAUAAUGAACUAAUGUUAAUUCUUGGGAGAGGUUGUAUAAGAUUAUUAUUUGAAUUUGAAUGAAAAUAAUGAGCAGAUAUCGAAGACAACUAAAUUACAGCUUCUUUUAAUGUAAUGUAUUGAAUGAACCUUUCAAUCUUAGGUACUAGUUUUUAAAUUUUUGGAAGCAAGAUCGUUUGAAAAGAUAACAGUAAAUAAUGACGAAGCUGUGUAGAAUUUAAAGUCAAAAUAAUGCCUCCUGCUAGAUAUGAACUCCCUUCUCAACAUUGAUGGAUUUGUAAAAUAAUAUGAUGUUAUAGAGUAUACACAAUCUUUUUUUUGUGUAGUUGAGAAGUUGAUAUUGUGGUAAUUAUUCAUAUUAAAUGAAAAAGACUAAGAAAUUGUCAAAAAACCACAGAUUUAUUGAUACUGUUUCACAAAGGUUACAAGUCUUGUUGCCAACCAUGAUUUUGGAGAACAGCUGAUUACAAGCGUUUCACAAAAGCAGAAUAUUGUAAACUUGUAGUUACAAUGAAUUUCUACAAGUCUCUAUGUAGAGGUUUAACAAGUGAUAAUUAUACUUAUUUAAAAUAUUCAAUGAUUAUUUAUAAUAUGAAAAAAUGCCCUAUAUCCCUCUAUAAUUAAUUAUUUUGAAAAUAUACGCAUUGGGAAAUUAAAUUUAAUAAAUUUCCAAAAUAGUCAUUAAUGUGUUAACUCAUAGGAUAUGUGUACUAUAGUAUAUAUACACAGUAUAUUUAUAGUAUACAGUUUAUAUAGUACAUAUACAUAUACUAUAUAUAUACACAGUACAUACUGUGUGGGUAACAAAUUCAGCAAUCAAUAAGUAGACUGAUUUUGUACAGUAGACUGUACAAAAAACAUUGUAUUGCUUUCAAAUAAUUUCAGAGUAAUUAUUAAAAGUAAAAUUAACCUUAUUGAAUCAUGAAAAAGGAAAUUAUCAUAAAAAUAGGUUAUAUUUACUAUUGGAGCACUUGUAGACUUGUAGAUCAUAAACUUUUGUGAAACGUGAGUACUUGUAAACUUGUAACUACAAGUACUUGUCCGUAACCGUGGUUGGUAACAAUGCUUGUUCCUUGUGAAAUAGGCCCCAAGGGCUUAUAUUUCAUUUUUGAAAUAUUUCCUAUUGGAAAGACCGGUUUCGGAUAUUCGGUAGAUUGACAAUGGUGUAAUAACCGAAACCAUAAACUCUAUAGUUUAUCAGAGAUUGACAAUGGUGUAAUAACCGAAACCAUAAACUCUAUAGUUUAUCAGAGAUUGACAAUGGUGUAAUAACCGAAACCGGUCUUUCCAAGUAUCAAUAAAUAUGUGGUUUUUUGACAAUUUCUUAGUCGUUUUCAUUUAGUAUAAACAAUCAUUAUAUUGGGUGUUAUUUUAUAGAAAUUUUAUACAUUAAUAUUGAAUUCGAAAAAUAUUUUUUUAGUUUGAUCAAGACUUAUUUAUUUUCUGUUUCUUCUGAUUUAAAUAUUCUAUAUCUCAUCCGACAUUGAUUAUAGGGUUUUCUUUCUGAUGAAAUUAAUAUUAAAUCUCGGUCAUCAAUAUUUUUAUCCUAAAGUUAGCAAAGGUUGGUAGUUAGAAAGCCCACCCUAUCAGGUUGUUUAUUUCAUAUUGGAAGGUUCAAGUCGUUAUGGAAUAGUUCAGUGAGGAAUAACAAAUAACCA